rnacentral:rRNA from 1 species
AAUCUGCCCUCAGGAGGGGGACAACAGCUGGAAACGGCUGCUAAUACCCCAUAUGCCGCGAGGUGAAAUGAAUUUCGCCUGAGGAUGAGCUCGCGUCUGAUUAGCUAGUUGGUGCAGGUAAUGGCUCACCAAGGCAUCGAUCAGUAGCUGGUCUGAGAGGAUGAUCAGCCACACUGGGACUGAGACACGGCCCAGACUCCUACGGGAGGCAGCAGUGGGGAAUUUUCCGCAAUGGGCGAAAGCCUGACGGAGCAACGCCGCGUGAGGGAUGAAGGCCUCUGGGCUGUAAACCUCUUUUAUCAAGGAAGAAGAUCUGACGGUACUUGAUGAAUAAGCCACGGCUAAUUCCGUGCCAGCAGCCGCGGUAAUACGGGAGUGGCAAGCGU